GAUGAACGCUGGCGGCGUGCCUAAUACAUGCAAGUCGAGCGAACGGACGAGAAGCUUGCUUCUCUGAUGUUAGCGGCGGACGGGUGAGUAACACGUGGAUAACCUACCUAUAAGACUGGGAUAACUUCGGGAAACCGUAGCUAAUACCGGAUAAUAUUUUGAACCGCAUGGUUCAAAAGUGAAAGACGGUCUUGCUGUCACUUAUAGAUGGAUCCGCCCUGCAUUAGCUAGUUGGUAAGGUAACGGCUUACCAAGGCAACAAUGCAUAGCCGACCUGAGCGGGUGAUCGGCCACACUGGAACUGAGACACGGUCCUGACUCCUACGAGAGGCAGCAGUAGGGAAUCUUCCGCAAUGGGCGGAAGCCUGACGGAGCAACGCCGCGUGAGUGAUGAAGGUCUUCGGAUCGUAAAACUCUGUUAUUAGGGAAGAACAUAUGUGUAAGUAACUGUGCACAUCUUGACGGUACCUAAUCAGAAAGCCACGGCUAACUACGUG
rnacentral:rRNA from 1 species